rnacentral:rRNA from 1 species
AUUGAACGCUGGCGGCAUGCUUUACACAUGCAAGUCGAACGGUAACAGGCCGCAAGGUGCUGACGAGUGGCGAACGGGUGAGUAAUGCAUCGGAACGUGCCCAGUCGUGGGGGAUAACUACUCGAAAGAGUAGCUAAUACCGCAUACGAUCUAUGGAUGACAGCGGGGGACCGUAAGGCCUCGCGCGAUUGGAGCGGCCGAUGUCAGAUUAGGUAGUUGGUGGGGUAAAGGCUCACCAAGCCAACGAUCUGUAGCUGGUCUGAGAGGACAACCAGCCACACUGGGACUGAGACACGGCCCAGACUCCUACGGGAGGCAGCAGUGGGGAAUUUUGGACAAUGGGCGCAAGCCUGAUCCAGCAAUGCCGCGUGCAGGAAGAAGGCCUUCGGGUUGUAAACUGCUUUUGUACGGAACGAAACGGCUCUGGUUAAUACCCGGGGCUAAUGACGGUACCGUAAGAAUAAGCACCGGCUAACUACGUG